rnacentral:rRNA from 1 species
UACGUAGGUGGCAAGCGUUGUCCGGACUUAUUGGGCGUAAAGCGCGCGCAGGCGGUCCCUUAAGUCUGAUGUGAAAGCCCACGGCUCAACCGUGGAGGGUCAUUGGAAACUGGGGGACUUGAGUACAGAAGAGGAAAGUGGAAUUCCAUGUGUAGCGGUGAAAUGCGUAGAGAUGUGGAGGAACACCAGUGGCGAAGGCGACUUUCUGGUCUGUAACUGACGCUGAGGCGCGAAAGCGUGGGGAGCAAACAGG